CCUACGUGUGGCAGCAGUGAGGAAUAUUGGUCAAUGGACGAGAGUCGGAACCAGCCAAGUAGCGUGAAGGAUGACUGCCCUAUGGGUUGUCAACUUCUUUUAUACAGGAAUAAAAAGAGGAACGUGUGCCUUUUUGCAUGUACUUUAUGAAUAAGGAUCGGCUAACUCCGGUCCAGCGUCCGAGGUAAUACGGAGGAUCCAAGCUUUAUCCGGCUUUAUUGGGUUUAAAGGGAGCGUAGAGGGGUUGUUAAGUCAGUUGUGAAAGUUUGAGGCUCAAUCGGAAAAUUGCAAUUGAUAAUGGCAGUCUUGAGUACAGUUGAGGUAGGCGGAAUUCGUGGUGGAGCGGUGAAAUGCUGAGAUAUCACGAAGAACCCCGAUUGAGAAGGCAGCUUACUAAACUGUGACUGACAUUGAUGCUCGAAAGCGUGGGUAUCAAACAGGAUUAGAUACCCUUGUAGUC
rnacentral:rRNA from 1 species